UUAUCGAGAUCGGACUAUAAAUAAAGGAAAUAUAACGAUAUGUAAUUUGACACCAUUGAAAACACUUAAAACGCGAUAUCUCGUAUAUUUACACACGUGCGCAUACUGAGAGAUCAAUAAUUAUAUGCUGCACCGCUCUUAUAAAAUAUGACAAUAGUAAUUAUUUGCCGCAACCAGCUAUCGUGUAUGUGCACCUAUAUACUAAAGUCACUAGAUAUAGAAAGUAACACAAUCAUCCGCCAUUUUGGUGAAAAUUUGCUGCCAACUUAAAAAAAUUUAAAAAUAAAAACUGAAUAUCAGUAAUUUUUUAUAGCCUAACUUCAUAGUACUGUCAUGUUUUAUAUAAAUAUAAUCCCAUCUCUAAACAGGUGAUACAAUCCCCAACAUUAAAGUUACUAGAAUUUUUUUUGAGCAUUUGCCGUAACCAGGUAUAUGUGUUCCAAUACAAAAUAUAACCUAUAAUUUCACAAACUAUAAUUUGUGAUUCUUAUUACUAUCGUCCCUUUCAACACGGCUUUUUUCAAGACUACCAGUUUCUUUCGAAUAUUUACAAGUUGUAGCGUGUAAUAGGCAAUAGGUUUACUUCGACAAGCCUUUUACUUCUUAGAAGAGAAUAAGAUGCGUUUGCAGUUCUGUUUCCGUAAUGGAACUAAAGACGUAAGUGAAGUUUGAGAGUACUCGAUACGUUUGUGUAUACAGGAGUUUCGAUAAACGGAUGUCAACCGUGACGAGGAUUACAACAAUAUACGCCGAAAUGCUCGUCGUUUACUUGAACGGCUUCGCAUACAGGAAGUCUUGCUUCUGGGAAGUCACCUGGCCCCUUAGUGAUUGCUAAUAAGGCCUUUGUAAAAGAUAUUCUUGCUCGUCUUGAACAAAGUUGAAAAAAGCAACUGCGAUAAUUUGUCCCACUAACGGAUAUCUCAUACGGAACGUGUGACACUAUUGCCUGGAGAAAAUUGUACUUCUAUCCUUUAAAGUAACCGUGUUACAAGAACUCAUCGUCUGGACUUGCAAAGUCCUAAAAUAUUGCAUGCAAAUUUACUAGAUGUCAACGUAUUCGAAACCGUUUACACACCAUUGCCGAAUUACGAGCAGAUAUAGAAGCUACCGUUUGAAGCAUUAUGCAACGGCACUUACAUGCCGGCUUCGAAAACAAAGAAAAGAGUGGACCCCUGUCUUAAUUAUGGUGACGAGAUCUUCGAACAGUUGUUUAUAACAUGUGAUUUAUCCAAUUACUUCAAUAUUAACGAUUUGUAAAAGAAAUAAAAUUGUUUCAAUUGU